UGGUUUUGGGGGUGAAGGUACCUAUGAGGCUUGUUGUGUCUUACAGAAAUGUUUAAGUAGUUAUGUGACUUCAAACAACUGUCUUCCACUACUCUUCUAGAAAAAAAAAAAAAAAGACCAAAAACAACUGAACAGGUUACUGUUAAUCUUUCUGCUAAAGUGCUACAACAAAGCUGUAUGCUAUCUUAAUCUCCCUUGAGCUUCAAAUAUCAUCCCUAUAAAGAUAUUUCAGUGGGGAUUGUUUACUCU